CUGCUAUCACUCUUGGGAUGGGACCCUGCGGUGCAUUAGCUAGUUGGUAGGGUAACGGGCCUACCAAGGCGAUGAUGCAUAGCCCCGAGUUGAGAGACUGAUCGGGCCACAUUGGGGACUGAGACACGGGCCCAAAACUCCUACGGGGAGGCAGCAGUAGGGAAUCUUCCACAAUGGACGCAAGUCUGAUGGAGCAACGCCGCGUGAGUGAAAGUAAGGGUUUCGGCUACGUAAAAGCUCUGUUGUUGGUGAAGAAGGACAGGGGUAGUAACUGACCUUUGUUUGACGGUAAUCAAUUAGAAAGUCACGGCUAACUACGUGCCAGCAGCCGCGGUAAU
rnacentral:rRNA from 1 species